rnacentral:rRNA from 1 species
CGUCCAGACUCCUACGGGAGGCAGCAGUGGGGGAUAUUGCACAAUGGGGGAAACCCUGAUGCAGCGACGCCGCGUGGGUGAAGAAGCGCCUCGGCGCGUAAAGCCCUGUCAGCAGGGAAGAAAAUGACGGUACCUGAAGAAGAAGCCCCGGCUAACUACGUGCCAGCAGCCGCGGUAAUACGUAGGGGGCAAGCGUUAUCCGGAUUUACUGGGUGUAAAGGGAGCGUAGACGGCGACGCAAGUCUGGAGUGAAAGCCCGGGGCCCAACCCCGGGACUGCUCUGGAAACUGCGUCGCUGGAGUACGGGAGGGGCAGGCGGAAUUCCUGGUGUAGCGGUGAAAUGCGUAGAUAUCAGGAGGAACACCGGCGGCGAAGGCGGCCUGCUGGACCGCGACUGACGUUGAGGCUCGAAAGCGUGGGGAGCGAACAGGAUUAGAUACCCCAGUA